rnacentral:rRNA from 1 species
AGCGAACGCUGGCGGCAGGCCUAACACAUGCAAGUCGAACGGACCCUUCGGGGUUAGUGGCGGACGGGUGAGUAACACGUGGGAACGUGCCUUUAGGUUCGGAAUAGCUCCUGGAAACGGGUGGUAAUGCCGAAUGUGCCCUUCGGGGGAAAGAUUUAUCGCCUUUAGAGCGGCCCGCGUCUGAUUAGCUAGUUGGUGAGGUAACGGCUCACCAAGGCGACGAUCAGUAGCUGGUCUGAGAGGAUGACCAGCCACACUGGGACUGAGACACGGCCCAGACUCCUACGGGAGGCAGCAGUGGGGAAUCUUGCGCAAUGGGCGAAAGCCUGACGCAGCCAUGCCGCGUGAAUGAUGAAGGUCUUAGGAUUGUAAAAUUCUUUCACCGGGGACGAUA